UCUCUAUGCGGUUAGAGUUUCUCUCUCUAAGCAUUCUCAUCACCUUCCUCAUACUUUGGGUACUAUCUUCCCUCUCUAUAUUCUAGCACGGAACACAACACAAUUGAAGAUUAUAACAUACCAGACAUGCCUUCUCAUCACCUUCCUCAUACUUUAGGUACUAUCUUCUCUCUCUAUGUUCUAGCACGGAACACAACACAAUUGAAGAUUAUAACAUACCAGACAUGCCUUCUCAUCACCUUCCUCAUACUUUAGGUACUAUCUUCUCUCUCUAUGUUCUAAAUUAAGCAAAUCGAAUAGAAAAAGGGUUUGAUGAAAAAAACAAACAUGCAAUGAAAUCAAUGGAUCCAUAGAAUAGAAAACAGUUNNNNNNNNNNNNNNNNNNNNNNNNNNNNNNNNNNNNNNNNNNGCAUGGUGUCUGGCUGAGCACGGCGGCGUGCGGCAGAAUCGGAGGGGAAGAGUGGCGGUUGUGGCGUGCUGCGUUGUUGUUGAGAGACUGUGUGUCUCUGGUUUUGAACGAAGAAGAUUCUUGUUUGUUUUCCGCACUGUUUGGUUCAACGGAGGGGAGGGAGGGGCGGGAUUUUAAUGGAGGGGAGGGGAGGGAUUUUAACCAAAUUCUCUCAUGUUGAAGUUUCGUGUCUAUUUCUCUCUUCAUAAAUAUUUGAAGGGUCCCACUCCCAUCCCACCUAUACCUCUUUAAUGCAUACAUGUGAAGAAAGAGAACAGUUUGAGCAGCCUUGGACCUCUAUCAUAGCAAAGCCCAUAAUCAUUCUCAUAAUUGUUCCAUUUAGAUAUAUAGUUCAUGACAUGGUAUCGAAACCUGUAUAAGUAACCUCUAUAAGUAACCAUAUCAUGAAAAGUAUGAUGUUUUUUAUUGUCCCAAUCUUGUAAAUUAAUGUAAUUAAGGUGAGCUACACUUGAAAACUCACAGCACAGAGCUUCUUGGAACCCUUGAUAGCAGCCUUUAAAUUCUCCAAAGUCUCCUGGUGAUACUCAGGGUUACCCCAUGAAAAGUCAAACCGAGCCACUGCAAACAACAACAAAAAAACAUCAGAGAAGCCAUAUAACACCACCACCGUUUGGAAGAGCUUAUUUGAGCUUAUCUGAUAGCAUAAGCGCUUAUGCCAGUGUUUGGGAGAGCUUAUGCAAACAGCUUAUGGUCUACCAUAAGCUAAGCUGUUUUGAGCUUAUUUUCAAAAUAAGCUAGUCAGGAUAGCUUAUGAAAAAGAGUUUAUGCUUAUAUAUAACUUAUUUUCAAUUUAUUUCGAUAAUUUUUUUAAAACAGCUUACAAAUAAGGACUUAUAUCAUAAGCGCUAAAUUAAGCUGUUUUCCCAAACAGGACCAUAAUCCUUAAACCAAUUCUUCAGUUAAAACAUUGAAAACUAGGUCUGACACACACAACAGAAUUGAAGAUUUUGACAUACCAGACAUGCCAGCCUUGAGACAACCAGAAAUAGCUUCAAUAGAUCGAGAUUUAGGACCCAGUGUACCAACGAUCUUAGUCAUUG
rnacentral:lncRNA from 1 species